rnacentral:pre_miRNA from 1 species
ACCAGAAUCACAUGGAGGGCUUAUUAAAAUACAAACUGCUCACCUCACACCCAGAACUUCUGAUUUAGUAGGUCUUUGGUGGGGCCUGAGAAUUUGAAUUUCUAGUGAGUUUUCAGGAGAUGCUAAU